UACGGUUUAAAUUAAAGGUUCUAGGGUUAGGAUCGCUAACUUAGUGUCACAGACAUUCAGUCUUUGCAAAAUAAAGACACUAGCAUUGUUCUUCAUUCAUCAGUUUUGUUUAGCUAAACACUUGAAUUUCGCCGUGACGUCUAGCGAGUAAUAGAACACGCUGAAAGCGAUCAAAUUUCCCUGUCUGGGAAAGCAACGGAGUCGUGAACCCAUGCAUCAAAAUCCUAGCCAUUUUCUGAACCGAGUUAUCGCUUUGUUAGCGCGACGCGUAAAGUAACAACAAGGAGUCAAUUGGACGGAGGUAUUUGAAUCGCAAAUCGACAGAAAUUUGCAUAAAUUUGUCUACCCAGACAGAGGUUUUAGUCCGUCCGCUGAUUGCCGAAGGCUUUUGGAAGACGAGAAUGCAAUUUUUUUGGAGGACGGGACCGUCACAUCUCCUUAAGGAAAAAAGAAUCCCGUGGAUCAAGAUAAACAAUACGAAUACCAGCCGACAAGACCGGGAAAUCAAUCGAUUUCCGAGCACGCUAUGUUUCAAGGGGACACGCAGGGGCUAUUAAUCCUGCUCGGAUUAAAGAGGUAUAUCAAAAGAGGAACAGAUAAAGAAGACUUCAACUGGUGAAUAGACAAGACCUUAAACUCAUUCACAUUGUACACAGUUCACCAUUAGCUCAGUUUGGAUUAUGUUUUUUUCCUUUGAACAUUUCUUAAGUUGUAACUUUCCCUCGCUACUCUUUAACUACUUCAGCAUGUACUGGUAUUCUUAACUUGUCAGCUAAAAGCAAAGACAUAAUUCUUCAUUGCCUUCGACAAAUUCAAAGGCUCAAACCUAACAGGGAACCAGUUUCUUCGAGGUGACCUCGAGGUGUCUGUACUUAGUUCGAAUCAAAUUGACCCAACUUACUCCAAGCAAGAAAAACUUAAACGUGCGCUCGCUAUUCUUACGUGAAGGACAUUUUUGAAUCUACCGUCAGGUUAUUUUCAAUCGUCUCGUUAACGAAAUAAUCGGAAAUUUCUAUUAAUUUAAUGAUCGCAUGUUGCGCCCCUUGUCAGUUGAGUACAGCCGGGAACUCGUGAAAUUUGCAUAGUGCCUGUCUCUCCUGGGGCGGGGCGGUUUGUUCUCGAGAAUAAGUGUGGCUACACGGCCGUUACGUGAGGCUCAACCUAGAAAGUCGGUAUUCACGCUCACAAAUUUUCAGGUAUUUAGCGACUGAUUCUCCAAAAGAUCAACUUAGCUGCCUUUUACCAGAAAGACUUGUCUCGAGGAUUUAAUUGGAAGGCCUGAUCGAAGUUAGAACCGUUUGAAUUUUGGGUACAUUGCUCGACGUUUUUCUCUCGCCUUCAGUCAACAUUCCUCACGCAUGUUUUACUAACCACAUCACGAUAGCAAACCAUGUGGCAACGGAGUUUACACGUGGAAGGUAGUCGGCUCGCUUCACUAAAAUGUUUCUAAAUCGUGUCAAAAACAGAUCUGAAUCGUAAAAUUUCGUUAAAGAAGAUUCAUUGUAAAUUGCUUUGAAAACACGACCAUCAUUUCUAUUGUGUUGGAGGUAAGUGUUGAUUUCAGUAGCUGGAUCGGCUUAAACCUUCGGUCGCAAAUCUUUUCAGUUUGGUUAUAGACAGGACACAGCAUGGAAGUAAACCGUAAGGUAGUUUUUUAAGGCUUUUAAGGUAGCUUACGCUCGUUUAAGAAGCUUUUUAUGUUACACAUUUCGAGGUCCCCGUCGUGUUUACAGUUAGUCUGGUUCACGCCGAAAACAGACACACGCGGCAAGCAAAAUAGUCUAAUUGUCUUUCGAAUGUCGAUGAUUUGGAACUAGAAAUCUUAAAACUCUUAUCAAGAGAUAUGAUUUCUGCGCUCAGAGAAUCAGUUUUGGGGACAUUUUCAUUCAAAGCAGGCUGUUUUCUAAACUAAACCGUCGUGGUUUGUUAAGGAUGGUAAGCAAUAGCUUUCAUGCACGCAAAUCGAUGUUGGUAGUUUCCGACUGUACUUGAAAUAUUAUUUUCUUGUUAUAGCUAGCUUAAUUUUGUUGGUUAUAUUCUACAGAACUUGCGUUAUUAGAGAGUAUAUUUUUCUAUCAGAAAGACAAGAUGCCAGCUCCCAAAUAUAGCUACCUUUGACCGAUAAAUUAAGACAGUUAACUUUGGAACUUGUUGUCUGCCUCCACAAUCCUUCGCCGGUUCCACGCGCGGAGGCAUGGAGAUUUUACACAAUAACAAUGUGUCAAUUCAGUUAUUUUUUAAUUUAAAUCUCUGUGUAAAAUCCAGUCAGUAGAAUUGAAAACUGAGGCUAGACUUGUAAUCCCAAAAUGGUCGUCUGGUACUGGACAUUGAAGCGUAAAGAAAUUUAAUGAGUGUAUUUGUCGAAACCGUGGGCCCUUCUUCUAGUAAUUACAUGUUUCUGUUGUACAAGUUUCUAUAGUAGGCUCUUUACAUAUGGGUUAGCAAUAUUUGUGGCUUUUAAAUUUCUUCUUCAAAGAUAAAUGUGGUGUAGGUUCGCUUCUCUCAUCAACAAGAAAAGCUACAGACUACCCACUUCAAACAUAAGGUUAAUGUCUUGUACCUCGAUUAUUCCUUACAAGAGUACACUAGAUUUAUUUGUUUCACAAUCAACGCUCAAAACUUGGAUGAAAAUUCCCUUGUUUUUUAUGAAGAUCAGGCUAGAAAGGCAAGAAACGAUUGGAGUAUUUUACAAUGAUUAAGAGAAAUUUUGUUUCAAGAUGUCUCAUUCAUGCAUUAGACAGUUGAAGGCAAUGCAGUUCAUUUGCCUAGUUUAUCACUCCUAGUUUUGAAACAGUUUUAUUAGGGAGUAACGACCGAGUCUAAUGAAGCAAAUUUGAAAUUUCAAAUAGUAGAUUUCAUCGUUUUCUUGCUACCAGGACAUAGAGAUUAUCUGUAAGAUGGAGAAGUUGGAACCCAGCUGACUUAAUUGUAUGCAAGCUUGUAUGUUAAACUGUUAAGGUGAACAGAAGUGUGCCCGAAUUUUUUUUCUGUACUGUGGGAUCCAAAUUCAAUAGCAGCAAAGAACCUGGACUAAGGAUAAGUGAGGAUAUAUUUGAAAUUUUUCUUGAAUGAUUUUAGUGGAUUCAAAUUCAUGGGAUGCAAUUUUACCGACGAAAGAAUCUUUGUGAAUUCAGUUCAACCAUUGAUCUUUCAGAUAGCAUAAUCGGCGGUCUCAGUUGUAUAAUUUCGCUUUCGACUGUAGAUGCCGGAUGUGUUUUUUCGCCUUUUUUCCUGGGAAUUGAAGAAGAUUGCUUGUGUGUGGAAAGCUGUAAGGAUAUUUUUGGGUAAUUUAGGUAUCUGCUUUGGCCGACUACAAAUGGGUUUAUAACUAACAACAUAAUCUCGAGGUCGUGGAAAGGCAGUCGCUCGUAAAUCCGUCUCAACAAAUACGAGACAUUCAUUUCUAGCCAUUUAAUUUGACGCCCAAGUCGCAAAAACAGAACUUGAGCGUUUUGUCUGUAUGGAGAACUCGCGUUUUUGACUUGUCAGUGGAAAGACUAUUUCUUUUUUUAAAACAAUUGCUAUCGAGACGAGACAAGUCUGUUUCGCCCUUUGGCUAAGGUGAAGUUUUAUGGUUGCCUUCUUCUAUUGCCCGAGAAGAAAUUUGGAGAAACAAAGCAGAUGUAAGCUGAUGAGUUCGUUUUUUAUAAACGUCUCCUUCUUCAGAAAGUAAAGUUGAACAGUCUGGAACAAAUCAGACGAAUAACAUUCGAAGAAGAAAGAGGGAUACUCAGUAAUAUGUCUGCGAAGCCUCUGACUUUUUAAUAGAGCGAAAUAACCAGAUUAUUGGACGCAGAAAACGUCUCUCAGAUCUUUACAAUCGGAGAGAACUGAGAAACUUUUGACAGCCUUUGGACCUUUCGACGUCUUCUCGAGAAAACAACUCGCCUGUAUCGGUUUGAAUAUUGCAGUGUCUGCAGCGUUUAAAAUCAGUUCUCGUAAUAAGUUUAUUUCUCAAAGAUGGGUAAUAGUUCGUCAGUCAUGUCUGAGAAAUUCAGCGUUAACCUUUAGAGGUUUAAGCGGUCUUCUUUUUCUUAAUUUUCACAAUAACCAGGUAAAUUGAGAGAAAUGUUCUCAUCUUUUGAGCAAGACAGAUUACUGCAUGGGCCAAAUCCAUUAUCCUCUGGGCAAACCUAAAACAUUUAUAUCGUGAAGAUAGAACCAUUCUCAAGGCAUAGGAGACUAAACAUAUUCUUCUCUUCAUCUGGAAUAUGUGGUCUGUUUUCUUUUUCUGAAGCACAAUACACUCAAGCUUAUUUAUUUAAGAGCAGAAGUCAGAAACUUCUGAACGGUUUGGCGCGCUCAGACGCACAAAACUACAAGCUUUACCUCCAGUUGUGAAAACGAUAUGUUAACCAAAUGUCUUGGACUAAAUUAGAAACAACUUGAGCUGUAAUGGAAAAAUCUUGAGUGGAAGAGGUCUUGUAUUUAUCCUUGCUAUCCUUGAAUUAGCCCAAACAUAUGAGGUACCUUAAUUGAUAAAUUGUGCUUUUAUCUAAUUGUGAUUAAGCAAAGGUGGGCACCGCUAGACUUCAGAGGUUCUUUCUUGUAAGACGAAACUACAAACACACUUAGGGACAGCUUUAGUUGAACUAUAAAUGGCUUCACCACUGAAUAGAUUUCUUUUCUAGCGAGCAAACUUUAUAAAAAGAAUACAAUGUACAAGAAACGCCCAUGUAGAGGGCAUACCAUAAUAGUUGUUUGUGUAAAAACAGCUGUGACCUAAUAUGGACGGAGCUCUCUUAGAUGCUUUUCGGGCUUAGCUAAAGGGUAGUGGUGAAGUAGAGUGCUGCGGACUUAUUUUGUGUCGCAGACUCUUCCCUGCUAUAAAGGUUAGUUUAACGGCUUUUAAAUCGAUUGUUCGACUAGAUGUCUUUCUUUUGAUUCAUCAGUUUUAAGUGUUUGCACGAUAUGGUUCUACAAAAGGUUACCUGCAAUGUCUGUGGGAAAGUCUGUCAGGGAAACUAUGGCUAAACGCGGUCAAAACUUUUUGUAUAUUUUCUGUUUGUGGAUGUGCUUGAAUGUCGAGAAACUGUUUCCCAAAUCUAAACAACAGUUUAGAAGAAAGUUUCAUAAUUGAUGAAGAGAUUGUUGCUGAACCAUCGAUACCAAAUACAGACAACGAAGCUUGUAAAGACUGCAAGAAAUGAAAGCUAUGUCUUAACUUACUGCAAAUCCUUACAGCUGAAAUUUUCUAUUUCUCAGAGGCUUCAGGUGUUCUGAAACUUCAGAAAUCGUGUCAGCAUUCUUUCUAUAUUUCAGUAGUUCGCAGAACUUCUAUGAAGAACAAAUUGAGACGAAGGCCCUAGUGGUUGUCAGAAGUAAUUCCGUUCUGUAGCGUUAACCUCGCCCCUUUGCAAGCGGAGAGCAAUUGAAGUUAUCAUAGACAGGGACACGGUGAAUGUUUUUGAAAUAGCAAAGUAUCUUUCUAUAUGAAAAUUCCCAAAGGUACCGACUUUGAACCUAGAAGUGACUGAGAAUUCGCUUUUAACGCCGCAUUGGUAAACCGCAAAGAGUUAUUUAGCGUCGCGUGCAAGAUCGGAAUUUAUUUCAGCUUACAUCUGAAGAUAAAACAUCAUAACGGUAUAGUCUGGGGGUAAUAUCUGAUGUGAAACGUAAGGAGGAAAAACCAAUCUACCUAGAGUGAUUCUUAAUUGAAACCUGCAAGCAUAAGAAUAUUGACUUUCUUAUAACCUUAAUGUAAAUAUUACAACGGCGGGUAAAAGACAUUGUUAUUUACUUGUAACGUAAAAAGUUGUUACUGACAGGAGAUAGUUACGGGUAGAUAUUUCGCUGUAUUUGAUACAUUAUUUUUCUUAUUCGAGCGGAAAUAGAGAAAAUUUCACGUCUCUUACCUAUCAAGCUAUUCUAUUCCCAUUGCAAUCAAGUCUACAAAAGGAAGCAAACAUUUUGUAGUGUCUUAGGCGGAGCAGCUGCACUUUACGAAGCAUGGACGUUCACUUGCAUUUUUCUUCGUCCACGAACAAAUUAAAUCUAUUAUUUAUACGCUAAUUUCCUCAUAAAAGCCUUAAUUGUUUAGUUAAAACGGCCAAGACCCUGGAGUACAAUAGUGAGUGAACUUGUCGCAGUUCACAUGAACCCGUAGAUCCGAACUUGUGGGAAUUUUCGCCACAAGUUCGGCUCUACGGUACACGUGUGCUGUACUAAAAGAGAACAGUGCUCCAGCGUGGCCAAACAAAGAAUUUUUUGUUUAAAUAUUAGCUUGCGUUAGUCAACAGGAGUUUCAAUGCAUUUAGACUGCAACAAUAGUAACUUAGAGGGCGCGAAGCUAUGUCAACUCAUACAACUUUUGCAUCUAAGACGCCAUUUUACAAUUACGUGUGCAUGUGGUAUAUUGUAGCGAAUUUAUUUUUACCGUUUGCUGGUGUAAAUCUCGAGCGUGUUUUAAAAGUACAAACCUCAUUAUAAAAAUAUUUAGCUACAGCUGUGCUUUUGUGUAAGAAUCAAAUGAAUAAUAAAAAUGAUGUGAAAUGUGGAAUGACUAGACUAUAUGAAAUCUUUGUAUCUUAACAUCAUGAGGGCUUCACUUCGAUUCUGUCACUGUGGGUUCAAGCCCAAUUUUUACCAGUCACCCGAAGUUGGACGAGUUUUCCCACUUUUUCUGUUUUGUCUUGUUGCCUAAGCAUUCAUGGCACAUUUGACGCACCGUUAGAAUAACUGACUGCCUUUUGCAAGCGUACAAAAUGAAGACUGUUUAAUCUAUUCUCACCGCACGCUACAAUCUUUGCACACUAUAAACUCAAAAGUUCGCCGGCCCAUACCCCCAAAUAUACAAGGACUAUUUUCAAUCAAUUCGAACUUUAUUUCAUUCUUUGUUAUUAGCUGGAGUACCUAGGUAAUUCUAUUGUUACAAACACCCCAUCGAGGUUUGUGAAUUGAAAGUUUAAAGGUGGUGUACUCAACCAAACUCCUUGUCAAUCGUCACUGAUUGUAUCUGGGAAACAAAAGUUAGAAUAAAAUUAAACUUUUAUUUUC
rnacentral:lncRNA from 1 species